AUUGAACGCUGGCGGCAUGCCUUACACAUGCAAGUCGAACGGCAGCGGGGGAGAAGCUUGCUUUUCCUGCCGGCGAGUGGCGAACGGGUGAGUAAUACAUCGAAACGUGCCCUGUAGUGGGGGAUAACUAGUCGAAAGAUUAGCUAAUACCGCAUACGACCUGAGGGUGAAAGUGGGGGACCGCAAGGCCUCAUGCUAUAGGAGCGGCCGAUGUCUGAUUAGCUAGUUGGUGGGGUAAAGGCCUACCAAGGCGACGACCAGUAGCUGGUCUGAGAGGACGAUCAGCCACACUGGGACUGAGACACGGCACAGACUCCUACGGGAGGCAGCAGUGGGGAAUUUUGGACAAUGGGCGAAAGCCUGAUCCAGCAAUGCCGCGUGUGUGAAGAAGGCCUUCGGGUUGUAAAGCACUUUUGUCCGGAAAGAAAUGGCUCUGGUUAAUACCUGGGGUCGAUGACGGUACCGGAAGAAUAAGGACCGGCUAACUACGUGCCAGCCGCCGCCGUAA
rnacentral:rRNA from 1 species